AAGUCCACCAUAAAAGAUCAGCUCUAAGCUUGCCUGGGCUGACAAGGACUGCUUACUCUCAGAAUGAGUUGCCCUGCUCAACUCCUGGGGCUGCUCAUGCUCUGGAUCCCAGGAUCCGGUGGGGUUGCUCUAUUGACCCAAACUCCACUCUCCCUGCCUGUCACCCUUGGAGAUCAGGCCUCCAUCUCCUGCAGGUUUGUACCCAUGGCUAUUCUUUUCCCAGGGAAAAGGGGAGAAAAUACAUUUCUAACUGCAGGAGGAACUGAGACCAGAAAACAGGAAGAAAUUUCUGCCAGUGAAUAGUAACUCGGAUAUUACAGAAAACCAAAGAUCUGGUGUUUUAAUGCAUUAAGCUGUUCAUUGCAAUCAGGUUGUCUGAUUUAUCAAAAAUGUAAAGGAUUAUUGCAUUAUUUUGAAGAGGAACUUUAAUUUUCAAGUUUUUGCUAACACCAAAACUUGAUGACUUUUCUUGGGAGUUUAAAACAACUCAUGUUUUUACAUGAUGAUGACAGGCAGAAACUUACUGGUAGAACAAACUCCAGAGUCCAUUUCAGGGGUUCCACAGAGCAAGGGCACCUGGGGCUGAGGAAUGUCUCUCAGAGGUCUUCCACUAGGUGCGCCCAUGUGGCCUGUCCCCU